UAAAAAUAAAAAAAAAAAUUUUUGUCAUUAUUUUUAUUAAAAAAUUUAAACUAAAAAAAAAGUUCGCGGUAUUUUUUGCGCAUGCGCAAAAUUCAAAAUGGCGAUGACAGUUGCGUAUGUAUUAUCCAAAGUUCCCACUCGCAGUCUAGUUCACACUCUUCCCACUGGAAGCUAGUUAUAACACCAUAACACCCAACACCACUUUUUGUCGUCCUAAUUAUUUAUCAACAACAAUGUCAUUAAACAGUCACAGUGGUUGCUGCAAGUCGCACUAAUUACCUGCAAGAAUAAAAUGAAAACAGUCAACAAAAAUGGAGGUAAUAGAAUUAUUUGAUCGUCUAAAUGAAAGCCUGGACACGAGUUUUCCGUGGAAAUGGCUGACACCUUUG